rnacentral:rRNA from 1 species
GUGGGGAAUAUUGGACAAUGGGCGCAAGCCUGAUCCAGCCAUGCCGCGUGAGUGAUGAAGGCCCUAGGGUUGUAAAGCUCUUUCACCGGUGAAGAUAAUGACGGUAACCGGAGAAGAAGCCCCGGCUAACUUCGUGCCAGCAGCCGCGGUAAUACGAAGGGGGCUAGCGUUGUUCGGAAUUACUGGGCGUAAAGCGCACGUAGGCGGGUAUUUAAGUCAGGGGUGAAAUCCCAGAGCUCAACUCUGGAACUGCCUUUGAUACUGGGUACCUAGAGUAUGGAAGAGGUGAGUGGAAUUCCGAGUGUAGAGGUGAAAUUCGUAGAUAUUCGGAGGAACACCAGUGGCGAAGGCGGCUCACUGGUCCAUUACUGACGCUGAGGAGCGAAAGCGUGGGGAGCAAACAGGAUUAGAUACCCGGGUAGUCC